rnacentral:rRNA from 1 species
GAUGAACGCUGGCGGCGUGCCUAAUACAUGCAAGUCGAGCGAACGGACGAGAAGCUUGCUUCUCUGAUGUUAGCGGCGGACGGGUGAGUAACACGUGGAUAACCUACCUAUAAGACUGGGAUAACUUCGGGAAACCGGAGCUAAUACCGGAUAAUAUUUUGAACCGCAUGGUUCAAAAGUGAAAGACGGUCUUGCUGUCACUUAUAGAUGGAUCCGCGCUGCAUUAGCUAGUUGGUAAGGUAACGGCUUACCAAGGCAACGAUGCAUAGCCGACCUGAGAGGGUGAUCGGCCACACUGGAACGGAGACACGGUCCAGACUCCUACGGGAGGCAGCAGUAGGGAAUCUUCCGCAAUGGGCGAAAGCCUGACGGAGCAACGCCGCGUGAGUGAUGAAGGUCUUCGGAUCGUAAAACUCUGUUAUUAGGGAAGAACAUAUGUGUAAGUAACUGUGCACAUCGUGACGGUACCUAAUCAGAAAGCCACGGCUAACUACGUG